AAGAAAUUAUGUAAAAGAGCUUUUACAUUAAAAAUAAUGAACCAAAAUCUACUAAUACAAUAAUCCAUAUAAUCUGUGUAAAAAGCAUGUAGAAAAAACACCUGAUGAAGUUUGCUGAUACAGUCAUUGACCAGUAAUGAGAGGUAUGAAGGAUUUCACAGGUAGAUAAGUGUGCGCACUGGGUGUGACUCGGGGAUGGGGGGGGGGCGUAGGCCCCUGCAUACACUCACUUCACUUGAAUGUGAACUAUGGCCUCUGCAAGUUCUAAGGCAAAAAUUGGAGGUGCACUUGUAUCCAUGUAACUCUGAAACAUCCCCAGUUGAAUGAAAAGACAAGUUGAGAAAACACAUCAUUUUUUUGUUUACAGAAAACUAACCUUCAGUCCAAUUUUAACCUAACAAUUUCUAUUUACAUGGCAAAUGUAAUAAACACAUCAUGACAUGUGAUACCGUUUUGUAAACAUAUCAAACGUUUCUUUUACUCCUAAAAUGAUCUCAGCUUGUGCAUUCAAUCAGGAUACCAGUAUAUUAUAUUAUAAAGUUGAGCAAUUUGUGAAAAAGGCAAGCUUUGUUCAUCUUUUCAAAAGAACAACCUUUGGAGUUGGAGAGACAGUGUUUUUUCUUUCAAAGCAGCACACAAAAACAACUAAAACAAACAAAACAGUGAAACAAAACGAGAAAUGAAUACAGCACAAAAGCCUCUGAAAAAGAUAAUGAAUUCAAUGCAUCUAGCUUUCCAACAAAUAUCCACCAACUAAUUACCAUAGCCAGCUAACAAAUCAAAUAACAUUACUGUUUUUUGAGUUUUGGCUUGUAAAAAACUGCAGAGGUAAAGGAACUUGAGAGAGAGAAAAAAAAUGUAUUUACUACCAAAACAGAAUUCAAAUAUAUAUGUAUGUUUACUCCAAUUAUAAGACCAGAGGUUAGAAGUGAGCUAAACUUUCAGACACUCAAACACAGCCAGAAACCAGCUACAGUACAAAAGUCUGCUACAGAUUCAGAAAUGGAGAAAUAAAAUGCUUGGCACCCUGAGACGAUAUACAAGACCAAUGACUAGUCCUGGUUUAGGUCAACCAGACAAAUCUCUGUGUGAAUGAGAUGAUGACACACAACAAGCUUAUUUGACCCGUAAUGCUUGGGGUAACUGUAGAGAUGACCCGACCAUGUACUACUUUCAACCAUCGGUCACCAUAGUAACACCCCAUACAGCAUAGCAAGCAUGGAGUAGCUCUCUCAGGACUAGAGAGCUAAGAGGUCUGGACUGGCAAUUGACCAGCGUAAGGAGCUACAUUAAAAACCCCUCAUUACUUUGUAUCACCUCCCACUGGGCAAAAACUGGUUGCAUCAAUGUUCUUUCCAUGUAAUUUCAACAAAACAAUUCAAUGUGAUGACAAUGAAUCAAUGUGGAAAACUGAUUGGAUUUGCACAUUUUUUCACCCAGCUUUGAACCUAAAUCCAAUGACAUGGUAAACGUUUUGCAUUUACAUAAGUCGACAACUCAACCAAAUGUAUAUCAAAACUAGAUGUUGAAAUAAUGUCUGUGCCCAGUGGGCUUCUAUCUGCAUCCGCCAACCUUUACUGUAUAUCAAUCUUGGGCUCUAGGUAGAGAAUAAACAAUGAUGAAUUAUUGUACGUACAGUACAAACCAGAAAUAGGCUAUGCACUCAUUGCUAUCCAAAGAAUAACAUCGAUAUUAAUCCUAAUAGCAUUAUAAGGCCAUCUAACAACAGACAUUGAAAGAUAUCUGUUGGUAUAGCUUUGAUGGGCCGAGGACAAUAGAAACUUUAUGAAUUUCAAUCCAUUUUCCCCCACAUUGUCAAAGUGUAGCCUAAUGAGAGUGUGCUUUUCUGGUGGACCAUUAUGCUUUCCACUUUUACGUCAAAAACGAGAAAGAAAAGGUACAUUUAUUGGGUAGGAAUUGUAUAUGAUUUGACAAAUGUGUUUCCUGUUUUGUACCUGAUAAUGGAGACUGAUGUAUAUUGUUCCAAUUCAGUGAUAGCAUAUGAAUCAGAGAAAAGCCAAAGUGGAAGAAGAACCUCACAAACAACAAUUACAACUGCUCUACACUCCUUCCUUACAUAAGGAAAGGGGGAUACCUAGUCAGGUGUACAACUGCUCUACACUCCUUCCUUACAUAAGGAAAGGGGGAUACCUAGUCAGGUGUACAACUGCUCUACACUCCUUCCUUACAUAAGGAAAGGGGGAUACCUAGUCAGGUGUACAACUGCUCUACACUCCUUCCUUACAUAAGGAAAGGGGGAUACCUAGUCAAGUGUACAACUGAAUGCAUUCAACUGAAAUGUAUCUUCCACAUCUAACCCAACCCCUCUGAAUCAGAGAGGUGCGGGGGGCUGCCUUAAUCGACAUCCACGUCAUCGGCGCCCGGGGAACAGAUGCCAUUGGACAUACAUUGUGUGUGUAUUAAUAUUUGGGUGCAUGUUUUAGUUGUCUGUGUAUGACUGUAUACGGAUCUAACUAAAAUCUUAGGGAACCUUAUCUAAAUGGUCAAAUACUCAGACCAGCACACUGCGAAACACAGACAUAUUCUACAAAGCUGCACUCUAAUAUCACAACAGCUUUCGAUAUCAGUCAAGACGAAAGUAUUACACAGCUGUGUCCAAGAGGGUGCAACAGAGUAACGCCAAGAAGAAUUUGCAGACAGUCAUCAAGGUGUAUAUUUAAGUAAUAAGGCACGGGGGGUUGUGGUAUAUGGCCGAUAUAUCAUGGCUAAGGGCUGUGCUUAUGCGCGACGCAACGCCGAGUGCCUGGAUACAGCUCUUAGCUGUGGUAUAUUGGCCAUAUACCCCAAACCCCCAAGGUGCCUUAUUGCUAUUAUAAACUGGUUACCAACGUAAUUAGAGCAGUUAAAGUACAUGUUUUGUCAUACCUGCGGUAUACGGUUUGAUAUACCACGGCUGUCAGCCAAUCAGCAUUCAGGGCUCAAACCACUCAGUUUAUAAUAUCGCUCUUUCCGACACUGUAUAGCUUUUCAUCCUGAAUGAAGUUAAAGCUAUGAGUAAAGCUUUUUAUUCCAAUUGAAUUCACUCACUGUAAAGACAGGUUCUGUCUCUAUUUCUCAUUUUUUGUAUUUUCAAGCACAUCCCUGUUAAACAGAUACGAGUAUUAUUUCUGUAUAUUUAUGUUAUAAAUGUAAUUAUAUACUGGGUGGUUCGAGCCCUAAAUGCUGAUUGGCUGACAGCCAUGGUAUAUCACACCGUAUACCAUGGCUAAGACAAAACAUUUCAUUUUACUGCUCUAAUUAUGUUGGUAACCAGUUUAUAAUAGCAAUAAGGCACCUCAGGGGUUUGAUAUAUGGUAAAUAUACCACAGCUAAGGGCUGUAUCCAGGUACUCCUCAUUGCCUAAGAACAGCCCUUAGCUCUGGUAUAUUGGCCAUAUAUCACAAACCCCCGAGGUACCUUACUGCUUAAAUAUUGUUCAUCAAAAGAUGGACUAAAUAAUUUAACUGAGGACUAUUGUUAGAAGCAAACAUAAGCUAGACAAAAUAACUAGGUAAAAUAUACAGGCAGCAUGCAUUCACAUCACAGAAUAUUAUGAUUUCAACAAAUGUACAAUCAGGGCAAACAUGUUACUAUCAUGCUUUCACAUGAACUCAAGUCCCAAAUAAAUGAUUCAUUCUUAAAGAAAUACAAAUAUAAGAUGUGAACACUCUCUAAAUGUUAUGUUGGCUUUCUUUUUUCUAAUACAUCUGAUUGCUUUAGGUUUUUGAAUAUAAUGUCUUCAUAGAUAUAUUUAUAUCAAUAAGAUGUUUUAAUUUAAGUGCCAAUUCAAGUGCUCCAGCAUCAGUGUUUUCAGGGUUCUGAACCUGAUGUAGACCCUCUAUGAA
ensembl:lncRNA